rnacentral:rRNA from 1 species
UGGGGAAUUUUGGACAAUGGGCGCAAGCCUGAUCCAGCAAUGCCGCGUGUGUGAAGAAGGCCUUCGGGUUGUCAAGCACUUUUGUCCGGAAAGAAAACCUCGUGGUUAAUACCCGUGGGGGAUGACGGUACCGGAAGAAUAAGCACCGGCUAACUACGUGCCAGCAGCCGCGGUAAUACGUAGGGUGCAAGCGUUAAUCGGAAUUACUGGGCGUAAAGCGUGCGCAGGCGGUUCGCUAAGACAGAUGUGAAAUCCCCGGGCUUAACCUGGGAACUGCAUUUCUGACUGGCAGGCUGGAGUAUGGCAGAGGGAGGUAGAAUUCCACGUGGAGCAGUGAAGUGCAUAGAGAUGUGGAGGAAUACCGAUGGCGAAGGCAGCCCCCUGGGCCAAUACUGACGCUCAUGCACGAAAGCGUGGGGAGCAAACAGG